rnacentral:rRNA from 1 species
UACGUAGGGUGCGAGCGUUGUCCGGAAUUAUUGGGCGUAAAGGGCUCGUAGGCGGUUUGUCGCGUCGGGAGUGAAAACCAGGUGCUUAACACCUGGCUUGCUUUCGAUACGGGCAGACUAGAGGUAUGCAGGGGAGAACGGAAUUCCUGGUGUAGCGGUGAAAUGCGCAGAUAUCAGGAGGAACACCGGCGGCGAAGGCGGUUCUCUGGGCAUGACCUGACGCUGAGGAGCGAAAGUGUGGGGAGCGAACAGG